AUAUGGGUGUCAGAGGUUAUGAGCUUGGUUUAGGUCCAAUUUACGGAGGGUCCCUCCCCCAUACU
rnacentral:tRNA from 1 species